UACGGAGGGGGCUAGCGUUGUUCGGAAUUACUGGGCGUAAAGCGCACGUAGGCGGCUUUGUAAGUUAGAGGUGAAAGCCUGGAGCUCAACUCCAGAAUUGCCUUUAAGACUGCAUCGCUUGAACGUCGGAGAGGUGAGUGGAAUUCCGAGUGUAGAGGUGAAAUUCGUAGAUAUUCGGAAGAACACCAGUGGCGAAGGCGGCUCACUGGACGACUGUUGACGCUGAGGUGCGAAAGCGUGGGGAGCAAACAGG
rnacentral:rRNA from 1 species